rnacentral:rRNA from 1 species
UACGGAGGGUGCGAGCGUUGUCCGGAAUCACUGGGCGUAAAGGGCGCGUAGGCGGCGCGGAUAGUCGGCGGUGAAAGCCCGGAGCUCAACUCCGGGUCGGCCGUCGAUACUUCCGGGCUUGAGCACUGUAGAGGCAGAUGGAAUUCCGGGUGUAGCGGUGGGAAUGCGUAGAGAUCCGGAAGAACACCGGUGGCGAAGGCGGUCUGCUGGGCGAGUUGG